rnacentral:ncRNA from 1 species
UGUCUCCUCUAUCCUCCUCCAAGAGAUAGAAUUAGCCCGCUCCCGUAGCGGGCAUUUUUUU